rnacentral:rRNA from 1 species
AACGAACGCUGGCGGCAGGCCUAACACAUGCAAGUCGAACGCCGUAGCAAUACGGAGUGGCAGACGGGUGAGUAACACGUGGGAACGUACCCUUCGGUUCGGGAUAACUCAGGGAAACUUGAGCUAAUACCGGAUACGUCCGAGAGGAGAAAGAUUUAUUGCCGAGGGAUCGGCCCGCGUCUGAUUAGCUUGUUGGUGAGGUAACGGCUCACCAAGGCGACGAUCAGUAGCUGGCUGAGAGGAUGAUCAGCCACAUUGGGACUGAGACACGGCCCAAACUCCUACGGGAGGCAGCAGUGGGAAUAUUGGACAAUGGGCGCAAGCCUGAUCCAGCCAUGCCGCGUGAGUGAUGAAGGCCCUAGGGUUGU